ensembl:lncRNA
GCGUCUUCCUUUAUAAAAUGAGUUGUAAUUUUUUAAGAGCGAGUAGAUGGACACAGUCAAAGUUGCAAUUGAUUUGAAAGGAAAUGGACAUUUUUGAGGAGAUGCCCGAGAGGGGAAAGACUUCAUUUUAAUCCCGUAUUCGCUUCACUGGUCUGGAACCUGAGCAGCUCUAUCGUCUAAGGCGGCCGUCAGCUUCAGGCUGUGGUGACGGUUCGGGUAAAGAGGCAUCAGGUGGGACAGCCGUAGUGCUGGCCGCUGCAGGAGUGCUACAGCUGGCAAACACCGAAACACCAAAUGUUUCCUGUCCCAAAGACCGAGAAGAAGGCGUCGUACUCCAUCCGCUUGGUGGGCAUCCAGUCCUCAAAUACUGAAGUUCAUGUCCUCCAACGGUCCCACCUCAAUGACGUCAGUGUUCGCGGUUCACCGCUUGAGUAACUGAAAGAUUUGGGUGCGUUACAUUUGACGAAGAAGUGCAAGAAGAGCGGCUCAAUGUCAGUAAACUUUAUUGAAUUAGUAAAUAUUACUAUGUCGGUAUAUGCUUAGCAAGCUAGCUAAUUGUUAGCUAAUGUGCACUUUUACACGCUAGCCGUUAGCUAACGAACUCUGUUUGCCUAUGGGUUUUCCCGGGUAGUUCUACGGUACCGCCUGUUAAUGCUUCAGGGAGCUGAUGAAUCUAAGAUGGAUACUUUUGACGAUGCCACUCUAUCGGUGUUGGAGGCUGCCAGUGUUGAUGAGGAGGCUUUGAAAGGCCUUAGCCGGGAUGACCUGAGGGAUCUUUUUCCUGGCCCAGAGAAUUUCCUCAAAAGAAAGAAACUUUGGAAUUUCAUCAGUGAAAAUUGUGAAAAUACCACGGACCAAGAUGCCAACAAUUGUGCCAUGCCACCAUGCCAGCCUCAAACCUCAACCCCCAUAUCUGCUGAGAAAAAAAUGAAAAUGCCAGACCCUCCAGAGUAUGUGGUGUACACAGAUUCAGAGUUAGACAUGGUGCGUAGUCAAUACUUUGCACUGCUCUGCAAUGGAAAGGAAAAAAAUUACAAACUGUCCAAGGAGCUAUGUUGCAGACUUGUAAGGAACACAAUAACCAGUAUGGUUGCUAUCCUGCGUGCUAGUCCCAUGGGGAAAGAAGUCAGUUACCCGUCAAAAUUGGAAAUAAGAGCCAUGUCACAGAAGAUUAUAGACUAUUACCCAAUGUUACGGGAUGAUGAUCCAAACAUGCCUUAUCUGACUAUCUACACCAAAAUGUACAAGCGACUCCAAAAUAUGAGAUCCCCACGGAAGAGGCAAGGCUCUGUACCACAAAGAGGAGUGGCAAAGACAGCUCUCUUCAGUGCAGACAACCAAGACAUGGAGACGGAUUGGACAGACACAAGCAACUCAAGUGAUAAUACCUUACUUCUUGAGAGCAAUGAUGACCUUACCGAGGACAACUCCAGUGAAGCAUUCCCAGCACAUCGACCCCCCUCUGUGCCAAGGAAGCCAAAGACCAAAACCUUCCUGCUGCCAUCCGCAUCAGCCUCAGGCUCCUCACUCAGGACUGUGAUCGCUUCACCAACCACGCCUGCAAAGGAUGAUGUUGUCGGCCAGGACAGUCUGAAAAUGCAGGCUAGGCACUACAAAACCUUGAGCAACAUGUACAAUAAGCCAAAUGCAAAACCCAAUCAAAGUGAUGUUGCUCAAGUUUUAGACCUUGAGUUUAAGGCCAGACGGGCUUUCAUUGAUGCAGAUGUUACAAGGGAAGAAGACCGACCUGCAAAAAUCUUUGAGGCAUAUCCAUGCUUUAGAGAUGUUCGAAAUGCAAUGGAUGAGCUGCGGCGCAUAGUAGGUGGCACCAACAGCAGAUACAUCGAGGAAGUGAAAGGAAGAUGGGCAGACUUUUGUGCCAAGGUGCAGUUCUAUGGUGUGUGGAAGAAAGCCCUGAAACCCCCCUUUCCAUUGGAUGUCCGUGGAGUGGAGUUCACGCUUGCCCUCUUCAAUGCACUCCCAUCCCUUUUCCCCUCACCAACUUCACCACCAAAGAAGCUUGGAAAUAGCUGUGAGGCACUUCUUCAUGUCCUGAAGUCAGGCGAAGACCCUGCCCUGUACCUGGAAAAGCAUCCUCUCUCCUCCCCAGUUCUGCUUUCUGAUGGCUCAACCACCAUUGUGGCUGUGGGUAAUGUACCUGUGACCACCCUCCCUCAGGAAGAUUUCUCAGACGGGAUGUUGGUGUUAAUGGCAUAUUACUACACUUUGCACUUAAGAUAUCCAAAAUGUGUUGCAACGCUCCUGUCAGUUAUUCAAACAGAGGUAAUUGGUGACACAAUCCACGAUCAAGAUGCCACUAGUGCUUACAGGAAAGCAAUGGCUGAUUGGAAGUCUUUCAUUGAGAAGUAGCUGAGUAUUUUGUCAUGCCAGUUCUUAUUGUUAGCUGUGAGUUCUUAUUGUUAGCUGUGCCUAAUAAUAGUUUUGUGUUGCACAAGCUUAUACAGUCACUGAGUUAUUACCUCAUUUAGGCCUGUAUUUAAAAUGAUAGUUAAGGAAAAAUCCAUAACUGAGGGCUGAGAAGUGUUUUUGUUUUUUGCCCUUUUGCUUUUAAUUUCUUUUAUUUUUAUGGAAAAGUAUUCAAAUGUCUAUAGCAAACUUGACUUGCUGAUGUUAAAUAAAUGUUGUCUUAAGCCAUGUUAUUUCUGCACCAUUAUUCUAAAAAAGGACAGGCUUUAGAUUUUAAGAUGCUCAAAGUAAGAAAACAAAAUGGGUAAUUGCUUAUAUUUAGUAUAUUUCAC